GACGAACGCUGGCGGCGUGCUUAACACAUGCAAGUCGAACGAUGAAGCCUAGCUUGCUAGGUGGAUUAGUGGCGAACGGGUGAGUAAUACGUGAGUAACCUACCUUUAACUCUGGGAUAAGCCUGGGAAACUGGGUCUAAUACCGGAUACGACCAAUCUCCGCAUGGGGUGUUGGUGGAAAGCGUUAUGUAGUGGUUAUAGAUGGGCUCACGGCCUAUCAGCUUGUUGGUGAGGUAACGACUCACCAAGGCGACGACGGGUAGCCGGCCUGAGAGGGUGACCGGCCACACUGGGACUGAGACACGGCCCAGACUCCUACGGGAGGCAGCAGUGGGGAAUAUUGCACAAUGGGCGCAAGCCUGAUGCAGCGACGCCGCGUGAGGGAUGACGGCCUUCGGGUUGUAAACCUCUGUUAGCAGGGAAGAAGAGAGAUUGACGGUACCUGCAGAGAAAGCGCCGGCUAACUACGUGCCAGCAGCCGCGGUAAUACGUAGGGCGCGAGCGUUGUCCGGAAUUAUUGGGCGUAAAGAGCUUGUAGGCGGUUUGUCGCGUCUGCUGUGAAGGCCGGGGCUUAACCCCGUGUAUUGCAGUGGGUACGGGCAGACUAGAGUGCAGUAGGGGAGACUGGAAUUCCUGGUGUAGCGGUGGAAUGCGCAGAUAUCAGGAGGAACACCGAUGGCGAAGGCAGGUCUCUGGGCUGUAACUGACGCUGAGAAGCGAAAGCAUGGGGAGCGAACAGGAUUAGAUACCCUGGUAGUCCAUGCCGUAAACGUUGGGCACUAGGUGUGGGGGACAUUCCACGUUCUCCGCGCCGUAGCUAACGCAUUAAGUGCCCCGCCUGGGGAGUACGGCCGCAAGGCUAAAACUCAAAGAAAUUGACGGGGGCCCGCACAAGCGGCGGAGCAUGCGGAUUAAUUCGAUGCAACGCGAAGAACCUUACCAAGGCUUGACAUAUACUGGACCGCAUCAGAGAUGGUGUUUCCCUUCGGGGCUGGUAUACAGGUGGUGCAUGGUUGUCGUCAGCUCGUGUCGUGAGAUGUUGGGUUAAGUCCCGCAACGAGCGCAACCCUCGUUCUAUGUUGCCAGCACGUUAUGGUGGGGACUCAUAGGAGACUGCCGGGGUCAACUCGGAGGAAGGUGGGGAUGACGUCAAAUCAUCAUGCCCCUUAUGUCUUGGGCUUCACGCAUGCUACAAUGGCCGGUACAGAGGGUUGCGAUACUGUGAGGUGGAGCUAAUCCCUAAAAGCCGGUCUCAGUUCGGAUUGGGGUCUGCAACUCGACCCCAUGAAGUCGGAGUCGCUAGUAAUCGCAGAUCAGCAACGCUGCGGUGAAUACGUUCCCGGGCCU
rnacentral:rRNA from 1 species